rnacentral:rRNA from 1 species
UUGACGGGACCCGCACAAGCGGUGGAUGAUGUGGAUUAAUUCGAUGCAACGCGAAAAACCUUACCUACCCUUGACAUGUCCGGAAUCCCGAAGAGAUUUGGGAGUGCUCGCAAGAGAACCGGAACACAGGUGCUGCAUGGCUGUCGUCAGCUCGUGUCGUGAGAUGUUGGGUUAAGUCCCGCAACGAGCGCAACCCUUGUCAUUAGUUGCCAUCAUUUGGUUGGGCACUCUAAUGAGACUGCCGGUGACAAACCGGAGGAAGGUGGGGAUGACGUCAAGUCCUCAUGGCCCUUAUGGGUAGGGCUUCACACGUCAUACAAUGGUCGGUACAGAGGGUUGCCAACCCGCGAGGGGGAGCUAAUCCCACAAAGCCGAUCGUAGUCCGGAUCGCAGUCUGCAACUCGACUGCGUGAAGUCGGAAUCGCUAGUAAUCGUGGAUCAGAAUGUCACGGUGAAUACGUUCCCGGGUCUU